GAGAGUUUGAUCCUGGCUCAGAAUCAACGCUGGCGGCGUGCCUCGGACAUGCAAGUCGAACGCGAAAGCCCCCUUCGGGGGGCAAGUAGAGUGGCGCACGGGUGAGUAACACGUAGGUAAUCUACCUUUGGAUGGGGAAUAACAACCGGAAACGGUUGCUAAUACAGCAUAAUGCAGCGGCACCUAAUGGUGACAGUUGCUAAAGCGGGGGAUCGCAAGACCUCGCGUCUGAAGAGGAGCCUGCGGCGGAUUAGCUAGUUGGUAAGGUAACGGCUUACCAAGGCUGUGAUCCGUAGCCGGCCUGAGAGGGCGGUCGGCCACACUGACACUGACAUACGGGUCAGACUCCUACGGGAGGCAGCAGUCGGGAAUUCCGGGCAAUGGGCGAAAGCCUGACCCAGCAACGCCGCGUGAAGGAUGAAAUCCUUCGGGAUGUAAACUUCGCAAGAACAGGAAGAAUAAGUAAAAGUUAAUAUCUCUUAUGAUGACGGUACUGUUUGUAAGCUCCGGCUAACUCCGUGCCAGCAGCCGCGGUAAUACGGGGGGAGCAAGCGUUGUUCGGAUUUACUGGGCGUAAAGGGCGCGUAGGCGGCCACCGCAGUCGACUGUGAAAUCUCCGGGCUUAACCCGGAAAGGUCAGCCGAUACUGCGGGCUAGAGUGCAGAAGGGGCAACUGGAAUUCUCGGUGUAGCGGUGAAAUGCGUAGAUAUCGAGAGGAACACCUGCGGCGAAGGCGGGUUGCUGGGCUGACACUGACGCUGAUGCGCGAAAGCUAGGGGAGCGAACGGGAUUAGAUACCCCGGUAGUCCUAGCCUUAAACGAUGAAUGCUAGUUGUCGGGAUGCAUGCAUUUCGGUGACGCAGCUAACGCAUUAAGCAAUCCGCCUGGGGAGUACGGUCGCAAGAUUAAAACUCAAAGGAAUUGACGGGGGCCCGCA
rnacentral:rRNA from 1 species